rnacentral:rRNA from 1 species
CCCUGUGGGAAGCAGGAGGGACCACCCUCCAAGGCUAAAUACUACCUAGUGACCGAUAGCGUAUAGUACCGUGAGGGAAAGGUGAAAAGAACCCCGGGAGGGGAGUGAAAUAGAACCUGAAACCCUGCACUUACAAGCUGUGGAAGCACAUUUCUUGUGUGACCGCGUACUUUUUGUAGAACGGGCCAACGAGUUACGUUAAGUAG